UACGUAGGGCGCAAGCGUUAUCCGGAAUUAUUGGGCGUAAAGAGCUCGUAGGCGGUUUGUCGCGUCUGCCGUGAAAGUCCGGGGCUCAACUCCGGAUCUGCGGUGGGUACGGGCAGACUAGAGUGAUGUAGGGGAGACUGGAAUUCCUGGUGUAGCGGUGGAAUGCGCAGAUAUCAGGAGGAACACCGGUGGCGAAGGCGGAUCUCUGGGCCAUAACUGACGCUGAGGAGCGAAAGCAUGGGGAGCGAACAGG
rnacentral:rRNA from 1 species